CGCAUUAGCUAGUUGGUGGGGUAAAGGCUUACCAAGGCAAUGAUGCGUAGCCGAACUGAGAGGUUGAUCGGCCACAUUGGGACUGAGACACGGCCCAAACUCCUACGGGAGGCAGCAGUAGGGAAUCUUCCACAAUGGGCGAAAGCCUGAUGGAGCAACGCCGCGUGGGUGAAGAAGGUCUUCGGAUCGUAAAACCCUGUUGUUAGAGAAGAAAGUGCGUGAGAGUAACUGUUCACGUUUCGACGGUAUCUAACCAGAAAGCCACGGCUAACUACGUGCCAGCAGCCGCGGUAAUACGUAGGUGGCAAGCGUUAUCCGGAUUUAUUGGGCGUAAAGGGAACGCAGGCGGUCUUUUAAGUCUGAUGUGAAAGCCUUCGGCUUAACCGGAGUAGUGCAUUGGAAACUGGGAGACUUGAGUGCAGAAGAGGAGAGUGGAACUCCAUGUGUAGCGGUGAAAUGCGUAGAUAUAUGGAAGAACACCAGUGGCGAAAGCGGCUCUCUGGUCUGUAACUGACGCUGAGGUUCGAAAGCGUGGGUAGCAAACAGGAUUAGAUACCCUGGUAGUCCACGCCGUAAACGAUGAAUGCUAAGUGUUGGAGGGUUUCCGCCCUUCA
rnacentral:rRNA from 1 species